rnacentral:rRNA from 1 species
CACGUAGGCAGCAAGCGUUGUUCGGAAUUACUGGGUGUAAAGAGUGUGUAGGCGGUGUUCUAAGUCUGUUGUGAAAUCUCCCGGCUUAACUGGGAGGGUGCGGCGGAGACUGGAAUGCUAGAGUGUGGGAGAGGUAAGCGGAAUUCCUGGUGUAGCGGUGAAAUGCGUAGAUAUCAGGAGGAACACCUGUGGUGUAGACAGCUUACUGGACCACGACUGACGCUGAGACACGAAAGCGUGGGUAGCAAACAGG